UACGAAGGGGGCUAGCGUUGUUCGGAUUUACUGGGCGUAAAGCGCGUGUAGGCGGACUUGUAAGUUGGGGGUGAAAUCCCGAGGCUCAACCUCGGAACUGCCUCCAAAACUACAAGUCUGGAGCAAGAUAGAGGCAAGUGGAAUUGCGAGUGUAGAGGUGAAAUUCGUAGAUAUUCGCAGGAACACCAGUGGCGAAGGCGACUUGCUGGAUCUUUGCUGACGCUGAGACGCGAAAGCGUGGGGAGCAAAC
rnacentral:rRNA from 2 species